CCCGUGAAUUUCGUAGAACCAAACACCGUCCAACAAGUUUAAUAGCCAGGCCAGCUUGGGCGUCCCUGUAAAAAUUAUUCACAGGUGCUUUUUUUGAAUAGCUAUAUAUGAAAACAUCCAGAAAAAAUACCAACAUUUCGGCAGUUGAAAAAAUAGUUUUGUUAUAUAGAAUAAAUCUAUUUGUUUAUAACAUAUCAGUACAUGGAGGACUAUAGGGUCAAUUUGAAUUCCAACCGGACCGGCACCUUGUACCAGCCUUAGUGACACGCGACAAGUACUGCCCCGCCCCUAUCCUCUGUUGUCCCGGUUCAACUUUGAUGGCGCGACCAGAUGUUUUACGGUAACCGUCCCUUACAUAGGCCUAGUUUACCUACCCCCACUAGUUUAGUUUUGUGAAAGUACAAAGUACACAAUACACACAACGAAAAGUACACACAAUACAGAGCACAUACAGUAAAUAGUACACAAUACGGUACAUCUGAGCUAAACUACUGUACACGGUAUACAAUAUGUAUAACACAUUGUUCAUUGCAAACUAUUAGAAUACAAAAUAAAUAAUUUCCAUAUAUUAACAAUAAAAAUGUGUUUUUUCAUAGAUUUUUAUAUACUGGAAACGAGAUUUUAAGCAAAGUCUAAACAUGCCGUUUUUUGGUCUUGGGAGAAAGAAAAGUAAUUCCAGCGGAAAUCUAAAUUCUUCAAAUAGUACAAAUAAUAAACAUGAAGACUGGUCUGCACACAACUUCCAGGAGUCACAGUUAGUUCAAGAAAAAGAAGAACUCCAAGCAAGAAAUAAGGAUUUAGAGGAAGAGAAUAAUCUGCUACAACUUAAGGU